UCCUCGUUCUAAAAAGACAAAACAAGUAAUUUUCAGCAAUUCAGCAGGGAUUAUGAUUAUGCAACUAAUAGUCCAAACACCCUAUUUGUGCCGCUGAACGGGACAAUGAACUCUGAAGGAGACUACGUUUCCGUGUUCCAUCACGUGUUGCUUACAAUGUUAGAGCAGUUUCAACCAGAGUUGAUUCUUAUCUCGGCAGGUUUUGACUCAGGAUAUUACGAUGUUAUGAUGGAGUUUGGACAAGGAGUCAAGGCUAACGGGUAUGGUCAUAUGGCUUGUCUCCUCAACCAAAUCUGCCCUGGAAAGAUCCUCGCUAUAUUAGAAGGUGGCUAUCAUCCCUACAACUACACCGAGAGCGCUUCUAUGAUGGUUCGAGGACUUCUCAAUCUUCCUAUCCCGCGCCUCGACAUCCCUGAAAGAAUCUCCGGAGCUCUCCUAGAAACUACCUGGAACAUUCUGAAUCAUCACUCGGAAUGGUACCCGAAGCUUGGAGAACGACUGAAACUCCUGGAGCACCAACAGAAAGAGCUUGGACUACCACAAUUCGCAUUUGAUCAGACAAUGUUUUUGGGUGAGAAGAUGAGAAAGAUGUAUGAUGAUAUGAAGAAGCAUAGGAUUGUCAGAACUAGAGAAUGGUUUCCAGAAAUGUCAGAUGAUCAGGUGGCAGUUUGUAAGCAGAAGAUAGAUGAAUAUAUCCAAGAAUACGAAUUCACUUCCGAGCAUCCUACUCCAAGUGAAUCACAGCUAGUUGCUCAGUGUGUCUGGGAUGAAGCUGCGAGGUCUGACGCCUUCCUCCAAGCAAUCCCAUUUGCCACUGCUUUGGUCCAAGAAUUCAAUGCUUUUGUGGAAGGGAAGAGGGAGAAUAUGAUGAUUUGCGAUCGUGAACUUUGCACGGAAGCUGUUAAAAGCGGAGUCUUGGAAGCUCACACACCGAUCACUCGCCCUGAAUAA